AGUGAACGCUGGCGGUAGGCCUAACACAUGCAAGUCGAACGGCAGCACAGUAAGAGCUUGCUCUUACGGGUGGCGAGUGGCGGACGGGUGAGGAAUACAUCGGAAUCUACUUUUUCGUGGGGGAUAACGUAGGGAAACUUACGCUAAUACCGCAUACGACCUACGGGUGAAAGCAGGGGAUCUUCGGACCUUGCGCGAUUGGAUGAGCCGAUGUCGGAUUAGCUAGUUGGCGGGGUAAAGGCCCACCAAGGCGACGAUCCGUAGCUGGUCUGAGAGGAUGAUCAGCCACACUGGAACUGAGACACGGUCCAGACUCCUACGGGAGGCAGCAGUGGGGAAUAUUGGACAAUGGGCGCAAGUCUGAUCCAGCCAUACCGCGUGGGUGAAGAAGGCCUUCGGGUUGUAAAGCCCUUUUGUUGGGAAAGAAAAGCAGCAGGUUAAUACCCCGCUGUUCUGACGGUACCCAAAGAAUAAGCACCGGCUAACUUCGUG
rnacentral:rRNA from 1 species